AUGUAGUGUGACAUGCCCGUUUGGGAAUUAAUCUAAUGCAUGUUUAUUUAUUAUUAAAUUGAUUUUGGGAAACGGGUGUUACAGUACA
rnacentral:pre_miRNA from 1 species